rnacentral:rRNA from 1 species
AUUGAACGCUGGCGGCAGGCCUAACGCAUGCAAGUCGAGCGGGGUUUUCGGACCUAGCGGCGGACGGGUGAGUAAUGUGUAGGAAGCUGCCCGAUAGAGGGGGAUACCAGUUGGAAACGACUGUUAAUACCGCAUAAUGUCUACGGACCAAAGUGUGGGACCUUCGGGCCACAUGCUAUCGGAUGCGCCUACGUGGGAUUAGCUAGUUGGUGAGGUAAUGGCUCACCAAGGCGACGAUCUCUAGCUGGUUUGAGAGGAUGAUCAGCCACACUGGAACUGAGACACGGUCCAGACUCCUACGGGAGGCAGCAGUGGGGAAUAUUGGACAAUGGGCGCAAGCCUGAUCCAGCCAUGCCGCGUGUGUGAAGAAGGCCUUCGGGUUGUAAAGCACUUUCAGCGAGGAGGAAGGGGUGUGUGUUAAUAGUACACACCUUUGACGUUACUCGCAGAAGAAGCACCGGCUAACUCUGUGCCAGCAGCCGCAGUAACAC